rnacentral:rRNA from 1 species
AUGAGCCCGCGGCCUAUCAGCUUGUUCGUGGGGUGAUGGCCUACCAAGGCGACGACGGGUAGCCGGCCUGAGAGGGUGACCGGCCACACUGGGACUGAGAUACGGCCCAGACUCCUACGGGAGGCAGCAGUGGGGAAUAUUGCACAAUGGGCGCAAGCCUGAUGCAGCGACGCCGCGUGGGGGAUGACGGCCUUCGGGUUGUAAACCUCUUUCAGCACAGACGAAGCGCAAGUGACGGUAUGUGCAGAAGAAGCACCGGCCAACUACGUGCCAGCAGCCGCGGUAAUACGUAGGGUGCGAGCGUUGUCCGGAAUUACUGGGCGUAAAGAGCUCGUAGGCGGUUUGUCGCGUCGUCUAUGAAAUCCUGCAACUCAAUUGUAGGCGUGCAGGCGAUACGGGCAGACUUGAGUACUACAGGGGAGACUGGAAUUCCUGGUGUAGCGGUGAAAUGCGCAGAUAUCAGGAGGAACACCGGUGGCGAAGGCGGGUCUCUGGGUAGUAACUGACGCUGAGGAGCGAAAGCGUGGGUAGCGAACAGGAUUAGAUACCCUGGUAGUCCACGCCGUAAACGGUGGGUACUAGGUGUGGGUUCCUUUUCACGGGAUCCGUGCCGUAGCUAACGCAUUAAGUACCCCGCCUGGGGAGUACGGCCGCAAGGCUAAAACUCAAAGGAAUUGACGGGGGCCCGCACAAGCGGCGGAGCAUGUGGAUUAAUUCGAUGCAACGCGAAGAACCUUACCUGGGUUUGACAUACACCAGACGCCGGCAGAGAUGCCGGUUCCCUUGUGGUUGGUGUACAGGUGGUGCAUGGCUGUCGUCAGCUCGUGUCGUGAGAUGUUGGGUUAAGUCCCGCAACGAGCGCAACCCUUGUCCUGUAUUGCCAGCGGGUUAUGCCGGGGACUUGCAGGAGACUGCCGGGGUCAACUCGGAGGAAGGUGGGGAUGACGUCAAGUCAUCAUGCCCCUUAUGUCCAGGGCUUCACACAUGCUACAAUGGCACGUACAGAGGGCUGCGAUACCGUGAGGUGGAGCGAAUCCCUUAAAGCGUGUCUCAGUUCGGAUUGGGGUCUGCAACUCGACCCCAUGAAGUCGGAGUCGCUAGUAAUCGCAGAUCAGCAACGCUGCGGUGAAUACGUUCCCGGGCCUUGUACACACCGCCCGUCACGUCAUGAAAGUCGGUAACACCCGAAGCCGGUGGCCUAACCCCUUGUGG